GACAGGUUCUUUAACAUACACUGAAGUUUAAAGGCCUACUGAAACCCACUACUACCCACCACGCAGUCUGAUGGUUUAUAUAUCAAUGAUAAAAUAUUAACAUUGCAACACAUGCCAAUACGGCCUUUUCAGUUGUCGUCUUCAAAACGUCGUGUAAUGAUGACGUGUACGCAAGACGUCACGGGUUUUUAGGGAAUAUGCACACACACAGCUAAAAAUUGUCUGCUUUAACCGCAUAAUUACACAGUAUUUUGGAGAUCUAUGUUGCUGAAUCUUUUGCAAUUUGUUCAAUUAAUAAUGGAGAAGUCAAAGUAGAAAGAUGGAGUUGGGAAGCUUUAGCCUUUAGCCAAACAAACACACGGUGAUUCCUUGUUUAAAAUUCCUGGAGGUGAAACUUUACUAUGGAUCAGAGCGCAGUCAAGAGAACAUGAAUCACGAAGGAAUGUCAACCAGCAGGUUUCGGUGAGAAAAUUGUGGUAAAAAGUCGCUUCUUACUGGAGAUCAGCUGAGCUUGUGCCGUCCAUAGCUGCCGUCGACUCCCCUGAGACACAUGGCGUCAAAACACCCGUGAACACACACCUCCGACUAUCAGAGGGAGUCCGGUCCGGUGGCCAUGGAUGAAGUGCUGGCUGUCCAGACUCGCCUGUGUAUCGGCUGGGGACAUCUCUGCGCUGCUGACCUGUUUUCGCUUGGGAUGGUCUCCUGCUGGCUCCACUAUGGACAGGACUCUCGCUAUUAUAUUAGAUCCACUAUGGACUGAACUUUCACUGUUAUGUUAGAUCCACUAUGGACUGGACUUUCAUAAUAUCAUGUUAGACUCGCUCAACAUCCAAGGUUUCUCAUAGUCAUUGUCAUCAACAUUCCAGUGGGGUUAGUUUUUCCUUGCCCUUAUGUGGGCUCUGUACUGCGGAUGUUGUUGCGGCUUGUGCAGCCCUUUGAGACACUUGUGAUUUAGGGCUAUAUGAAUAAACAUUGAUUGAUUGAUAAAAUAAUAACCAUUUUAAUGGAAAAGAUGCUCAGCUUUGAUGGAGACUGUCUGCAAGGGUUUCAUUAGACAGUAUCAUGAUUAUUAAGAUGAAAUCUAACUUCAGACAUUCAUUAAAAAACUGGCAAUUUUAAAGCCCCACUUAACAA